UACGAAGGGGGCUAGCGUUGCUCGGAAUCACUGGGCGUAAAGCGCACGUAGGCGGACUCUUAAGUCGGUGGUGAAAUCCUGGAGCUCAACUCCAGAACUGCCUUCGAUACUGAGAGUCUCGAGUCCGAGAGAGGUGAGUGGAAUUCCUAGUGUAGAGGUGAAAUUCGUAGAUAUUAGGAAGAACACCAGUGGCGAAGGCGGCUCACUGGCCCGGUACUGACGCUGAGGCGCGAAAGCGUGGGGAGCAAACAGG
rnacentral:rRNA from 1 species